GGGAAUGUGGCUUAGUGGUAAAGUGCAUGCUUACAAUGCAUGAAGCCGUGGGUUCAAUCCUCCAUACCAC
rnacentral:tRNA from 1 species